AAAGAAGAAAUUCAACUUGAGAUAGAAUUACUGUGUUGAGAAAACAGACAAAAGUCCACACCCAAAGAUCCAGCUGAUAAUAAAGGAGGUGAAAAACAAAAGCAUGGAAGUCCAACUUGUCCAUGAAUACAAGAUGAACACUAAUUUUGGAAGAUUGGCUGAAGUAUAGGGCAUGAGAAGAGGAAAAAUAGAACUAUGACAAAUAAGGUAGAGUAAGUGAAUCUAAACCAAAUUAAGGAAGGG
rnacentral:lncRNA from 1 species